rnacentral:rRNA from 1 species
GACGAACGCUGGCGGCGUGCUUAACACAUGCAAGUCGAACGGAAAGGCCCUGCUUUUGUGGGGUGCUCGAGUGGCGAACGGGUGAGUAACACGUGAGUAACCUGCCCUUGACUUUGGGAUAACUUCAGGAAACUGGGGCUAAUACCGGAUAGGAGCUCCUGCUGCAUGGUGGGGGUUGGAAAGUUUCGGCGGUUGGGGAUGGACUCGCGGCUUAUCAGCUUGUUGGUGGGGUAGUGGAUUACCAAGGCUUAGACGGGUAGCCGGCCUGAGAGGGGGACCGGCCACAUUGGGACUGAGAGACGGCCCAGACUCCUACGGGAGGCAGCAGUGGGGAACAUGGCACAAUGGGCGGAAGCCUGGGGCAGCAACGCUGCGUGCGGGAUGACGGCCUUCGGGUGAUAAACCGCUUUCGCCUGUGACGAAGCGUGAGUGACGGUAAUGGGUAAAGAAGCACCGGCUAACUACGUG